UCGUAACAAGGUUUCCGUAGGUGAACCUGCGGAAGGAUCAUUCAUAAUAAAAGUGUUUUAUGGCACUUUUCAAACAAUCCAUAUCCACCUUGUGUGCAAUGUUUUUUUGAAAGGGGAAGAGUCGCAAGGCUUUUCUCUCCCUUUCUCUUUAACUUAUCAACUCUUUAUUUUUUUAAUUGCCAUUUGUCUGAAAUAAAAUUUAUUAUUAUGAAUAAAAAACUUAAUUCAAAAUAUAACUUUCAACAACGGAUCUCUUGGCUCUCGCAUCGAUGAAGAACGCAGCGAAAUGCGAUACGUAAUGUGAAUUGCAGAAUUCAGUGAAUCAUCGAAUCUUUGAACGCAUAUUGCGCUCUCUGGCAUUCCGGAGAGCAUGCUUGUUUGAGUAUCAGUAAACACCUCAGGUCUCGAGAUAUUAUUAUAUUUCGAGACUUGGAUUUGAGUGAUCCUAACAGAGUCGUCAUAUUGACAAUGGCAGGUCGCUUGAAAUUCAGGUGCAGCUGAACUUUUCUUCUGAGCUAAAAGCAUUAUUUUAUUUAGUCUUUAUUGACUAUUACUUUUUUUGCUGCAGCUAACAUAAAGGGAGAAGAGUUCUUGAUGCUGACUGAUGCAGGAAUUUAUCAGUCUGGUAAAAAAGGACUG
rnacentral:rRNA from 1 species